GAUGAAGAACGUAGCGAAAUGCGAUAAGUAGUGUGAAUUGCAGAAUUCAGUGAAUCAUCGAAUCUUUGAACGCACAUUGCGCCCUUUGGUAUUCCAAAGGGCAUGCCUGUUCGAGCGUCAUUUGUACCCUCAAGCUUUGCUUGGUGUUGGGCGUCUUGUCUCUAGCUUUGCUGGAGACUCGCCUUAAAGUAAUUGGCAGCCGGCCUACUGGUUUCGGAGCGCAGCACAAGUCGCACUCUCUAUCAGCAAAGGUCUAGCAUCCAUUAAGCCUUUUUUUCAACUUUUGACCUCGGAUCAGGUAGGGAUACCCGCUGAACUUAAGCAUAUCAAUAGCGGAGA
rnacentral:misc_RNA from 1 species